UUGGAGGGCAAGUCUGGUGCCAGCAGCCGCGGUAAUUCCAGCUCCAAUAGCGUAUAUUAAAGUUGUUGCAGUUAAAAAGCUCGUAGUUGAAUUUCGGGAUCAAGGAAUCGGUCAUGCCUCGGUAUGUACUGGUUUUAUUGGUUCUCACCUUCUAAAGAACCAUAAUGUCAUUUAUUUGGUGUUAUGGGGAAUUAGGACUGUUACCUUGAAAAAAUUAGAGUGUUUAAAGCAAGCUACACUUGAAUACAUUAGCAUGGAAUAAUGAAAUAGGACAUCCGAUUCUAUUUUGUUGGUUUCUAGGAUCGAUGUAAUGAUUAAUAGGGAUAGUUGGGGGCAUUAGUAUUCAAUUGUCAGAGGUGAAAUUCUUGGAUUUAUUGAAGACUAACUACUGCGAAAGCAUUUGCCAAGGAUGUUUUCAUUAAUCAAGAACGAAAGUUAGGGGAUCGAAGACGAUCAGAUACCGUCGUAGUCUUAACCAUAAACUAUGCCGACUAGGGAUCGGAUGAUGUUUAUUUUUUAGUGACUCAUUCGGCACCUUACGGGAAACCAAAGUGUUUGGGUUC
rnacentral:rRNA from 1 species